ensembl:lncRNA
AGUAGUGCUGGAUAAUGCAUGGAAUAUAUUGAAGUAGUUCUUUCCAAGAAAUAAAUGAUCAGGAAUGCACAAGGAAAGAAAGAGAAACGUGAUGAAGAAGGGAAAAGAACUAAGUGAAAAUGAAAAAUAAAUUGUAUGACGUUAAAAUAACAAAAAUCUUCUAAAAGUGUUUUAUAGGAGAAAAAAGUAGUCUUCUCUACAGUAAUGUUAAAGCAUUACUUCUGUGUGAGUUGCUUGGAAGUGGCCACUAAGUAAGGAGUAAUAAUUAAUCAAGUAGAAUCUUGCAAGAUAACAUCUCACAAGGAAAGUUAACAGAACUGCUGUAGGCCUCUCUAUGACUCAUGUCAGCCAAACUUUAAAGACUUGUUGGCACAUUUACACCAUGCAUCAGCCUUCCUACUCCAAAUCUGUGGUGGUCUUCUCCACGUUUGAUUCUGUAAAACCAUCAAGCCCUUAACCCAGCUGUAUACUUCCUGUAUGUACUACUGGAUCCACUGCAGCAUCUGCACUCCCAAAGCACUCCUCAAGAAGAACUCCUGAAUAUGCUACUGAAACCUGCUAAACAGUAAAUAACAAAAGACUAAUUGAUGACCAACCAUGGCCUCUAUCAUAGUCUUCUGGAAAUUCAGUUACAUCAUCCUCAGCACUUUCCUCUGUGCCUGACUGCAGAAAAUCAGAUGCACUGAGGAGGAAAAAGAAAGACUUAUAUCCCUCUAGACUCGUGUGCCAAUAUAGGCAGUCACUUCAUAGAGCAGGAUAGCACAGGACAGGAGGAGAUCUACCAGAACAUCACAUCUCCUGUGGACAACUGUAUCACUGAAGGAUGUAGGAGUGUCCUUACCCUUACUGCCUGUGAAGAUGCAGCAGCAGAUCCAAUCCCAUGGCAAAAAACUGUAGGUCACCUCUGAGUUCUUGAUCUGUCAAUUCUGAAGCAACUAAUCAACCAAGAGAACAGCAGGCCCCAGUAUGUGCAUUCUUAAAGCAGAUGAGAGCCUUUUGCAUUGUGUAAUAGUCAAAGGAUUUGUUCUUCCUUCUACCUCCCCCUUUCUUGAUAUUCAGCCUCUCUUAUCAUGCAGGGUUUAGGGAGGAGAUGCUCAGCAUUGUCCAACACUGAAGUGGUGGAUGACUGCCAGUUGUCUUUACGCUGUCUUGCUGAGAAGUUAAACCAAAUAAUAAUACUGAUUC